rnacentral:rRNA from 1 species
GACGAACGCUGGCGGCGUGCUUAACACAUGCAAGUCGAACGGAAAGGCCCUGCUUUUGUUGGGUGCUCGAGUGGCGAACGGGUGAGUAACACGUGAGUAACCUGCCCUUGACUUUGGGAUAACUUCAGGAAACUGGGGCUAAUACCGGAUAGGAGCUCCUGCUGCAUGGUGGGGGUUGGAAAGUUUCGGCGGUUGGGGAUGGACUCGCGGCUUAUCAGCUUGUUGGUGGGGUAGUGGCUUACCAAGGCUUUGACGGGUAGCCGGCCUGAGAGGGGGACCGGCCACAUUGGGACUGAGAUACGGCCCAGACUCCUACGGGAGGCAGCAGUGGGGAAUAUUGCACAAUGGGCGGAAGCCUGAUGCAGCAACGCCGCGGGCGGGAUGACGGCCUUCGGGGUGUAAACCGCUUUCGCCUGUGACGAAGCGUGAGUGACGGUAAUGGGUAAAGAAGCACCGGCUAACUACGUG